rnacentral:rRNA from 1 species
UACGGAGGGUGCAAGCGUUAUCCGGAUUUAUUGGGUUUAAAGGGUCCGUAGGCGGGCUUAUAAGUCAGUGGUGAAAUCUCAUAGCUUAACUAUGAAACUGCCAUUGAUACUGUAAGUCUUGAGUAAAAUUGAGGUAGCUGGAAUAAGUAGUGUAGCGGUGAAAUGCAUAGAUAUUACUUAGAACACCAAUUGCGAAGGCAGGUUACCAAGUUUUAACUGACGCUGAUGGACGAAAGCGUGGGGAGCGAACAGG